GCAUCACACAGAGAAGAUUCCUUUGAUGUCUUAGAAAGAUUAGUCGACCAAGUACACGAUUUGCUUAAGUUCCUUGGAAUUUCAUAGUUGCCGAUGUUCAAUGUCUCAUCCUAGCAAAUGAUAUUCCAACUUUAAACCUGAAACUGUGAAGAUACCCUUAUCCUACUAUCCUUAAAGCUCAACAAAUCUUCAGAUCCAUCGGGCUCUUGUAUUUACUAAUUAUCAACUACUAAAAAGGAUGCUUUAUUUGGGAAGGGUCUUGAAACUAUACUUUUCUUCCAUUUGUUAGGAUACAAAAAUCUUCACGGUAAUAGAAGGAUGGUUAAUUGCCACAUAGAAUCACAAAAUACACGUAAGAUAUAAACACACAAGAUUGCAAGAUAAUUUACUCCCUAGGAACAGGGAGGGAAGCAAAAGCGAAGGGCCGAAAUUAGCAAAGAAAAAUCUAAUAACUGAUAAGUUAAAGAAGUAUGCUAAUAUAUUAUAUUUAUAUAAAUAUAUCAUAUUCACAAAUGCAUGUAAACUUCCAUGGACGAGGUCCCCAUCUUGAUCUAUAACUCAAGUACAAUCACUGAUGUAAGUUGCGAUUUCAAUAUCUCUUCAUGGCAUUUUGAUGAAGAAAAUUGACUGGAUAUGAAUGCCAAUUAUUCUUCACAACGAACCGUAGCAGUAGCAUUCCAUGAUUACUUCCCAAUGCCUUGAAUCCUACGUAUUAAGCUGGAAUACAACGGUAAAAGUUCAACUUAGAAACUAAGAAGAUGUAGAAUUUCCCUCUUUUAUUAUCCAAGACAAAAAAAUCACAAGGCGAAAACUUUGGAAGACAAAACAGUACAAGGUGAACACGUCACAAGGUGAAUAUGUACAAGGCGGAAAUGUCCAAGCUAAAAAUGUUCAAGGCGAAUCCUAGUUGAUAGUUGUCGUAAUCAUCUAUUUAAUUUCCUGUCUUCAUGGUUAUUCAAUCUGGGAUAUAAUUUAAGACGGGAUUAGUGUAAAAGCGCGAGAAAAAGGUAGGAGCGAGACAUAUGGUAAUACUGAAUUAAGACCCUUGUUAAUAUCAGC
rnacentral:lncRNA from 1 species